rnacentral:misc_RNA from 1 species
UCACUACUUGCGUAGGCAGUCUCUUUAGAGUUCCCAGCUUAACCUGAUGGCAACUAAAGAUAGGGGUUGCGCUCGUUGCGGGGCUUAACCCAACACCUCACGGCACGAGCUGACGACAGCCAUGCACCACCUGCGCAGAAGUCCCUUGCGGGAGGCUCUGGCUUUCACCAAAGUUUCCUCUGCAUGUCAAACCCAGGUAAGGUUCUUCGCGUUGCCUCGAAUUAAACCACACGCUCCGCUGCUUGUGCGGGCCCCCGCCUAUUCCUUUGAGUUUUAACCUUGCGGCCGUGGUCCCCAGGCGGUGAACUUAAUGCGUUAGCUGCAGCACUAAAGGGCGGAAACCCUCUAACACUUAGCACUCAUCGUUUACGGCGUGGACUAC